UACUAUUUAACCUGGUGACUAAGUCGAUUGGAAACAAUGAAACAAAUUAUUACAGGAAUCCAGACGACAUCCCUCCCUCCCCCUUUCCUGCUUCCUCACCCGCUGUAGCAAGCAGGUGUGGAGUCGAGUCGGAGGCAGGCGCUGGCUGCGUGGACCCCCGGGUGGGAUUCCACCCGCGACAAGGCACCCAGGCCCUUUGGGCGGGGCUCCCCUGGGGUCCGCGUCCCCGCCGCCUCCCCCGGGCCUCUGCUGGGCUGGCUGGAGGCAGGAGGCCCCGGUUAGCAGGUGGUGGGGAACUGGGUCCCGGGGUUGGAGGCAGGAAGGUCCCCACGGGCCCCGCGCACCGUUUGCCGCGCACGGGAAGCGGCGAGGCCGGCGGGGCAGCGGCUUCUGGGCAUUGUUCUCGGACCGCGCGGCGCUCGGUUGGCAUCAAAGGGGACCGCGCAACCCGACACCACGGCGGGCGCGGGGACAGAGGCCUGAGGGCGGCGGGGACAGAGGCGCACAAGGCCCGGCCCGCGGCGAGGAGCCUCAACAGGUUGGAAACGCGGAGACGACGCCCCGCGCUCCGCCGCCUUCCGCCCGCGGGCCAGCAUCCUGAGCCCCACCUGCAGGCCCUGGGCGCUUUCCUCCUGGCAGCUGUGCCCCCACCCGACCGGACCGCUCCCUGCAACCAGAGAGCCCUCACACCAGCAACACCCCCCAGCCUGCUCCCUCCUCGUGUGCGCGAAACUCAUGGCACUGGCUUGACGGCUUUCUCUGAAACCCUCUGAUUCCGCCUGGCCCAUCCACACUGUCCCUUCCCGGCCAGGGCUCAUCUCCUAUGCCUGGACCAAACAGCGUAGUCUCCAGUCUCCCUGAUCUCCCCACACGUGGCCCCACCCAUCCUCUGAAGCAGCCCCAGGAGGCAGCAGUGACUUCACACUUCUAGUGCCCGGCCCUCCCGGCCCUCCUCUCUGGGCUUGCUUGCCAGGGUCCUCCCAACCUGACUGCUGCCUCCCACCUCCUCUCCGCCCCUGGAGCUCUCCAGCCGCAGCCGCGGGGCCUGCUUGGGAUUCUCCUCUGCUGGCAUCAUCCCUGCCUGCCUCAGCCUUCCCAGGCCCAAUCCUGCCCGAUCUCACCUCUUCCCGCCCAGCCACCUGGUCGGGUCCCGACCAGCAUCUGCCUUCAAACCUGGAGUCCUUCCCUGAGUGCUUGCGGUGCACUGUGAGGAAGGAAAUCAAUGUAAAGGAUUAUGACCCACAUUUUUUAAAAAUAAAAAGAUUAAGGAGAACAGC
rnacentral:lncRNA from 1 species